AUUGAACGCUGGCGGCAGGCCUAACACAUGCAAGUCGAGCGAGCGGCGGACGGGUGAGUAAUGCCUGGGAAAUUGCCCAGUCGAGGGGGAUAACAGUUGGAAACGACUGCUAAUACCGCAUACCAUCAGAUGUGCCCAGAUGGGAUUAGCUCGUAGGUGGGGUAACGGCUCACCUAGGCGACGAUCCCCACCUGGUCUGACAGGAUGACCAACAACACUGGAACUGGAACACGGUCCAGCCUCCUACGGGAGGCAGCAGUGGGGAAUAUUGCACAAUGGGGGCAAGCCGGAUGCAGCCAUGCCGCGUGUGUGAAGAAGGCCUUCGGGUUGUAAAGCACUUUCAGCGGGGAGGCGUUACCCGCAGAGGAAGCACCGGCUAACUCCGUGCCAGCAGCCGCGGUAAUAC
rnacentral:rRNA from 1 species